rnacentral:rRNA from 1 species
UACGGGGGGGGCAAGCGUUGUUCGGAAUUACUGGGCGUAAAGGGCUCGUAGGCGGCCAACUAAGUCAGACGUGAAAUCCCUCGGCUUAACCGGGGAACUGCGUCUGAUACUGGAUGGCUUGAGUUUGGGAGAGGGAUGCGGAAUUCCAGGUGUAGCGGUGAAAUGCGUAGAUAUCUGGAGGAACACCGGUGGCGAAGGCGGCAUCCUGGACCGGCAUGACGCUGAGGAGCGAAAGCCAGGGGAGCAAACGGG